rnacentral:rRNA from 1 species
ACUAAUUCUAGCUCAAAUCACUCAAACCCAAAUAAUACACCCAAUCAAAACAAAACAUUUAGUCUCACUAAAGUAUAGGAGAUAGAAAUUUUAAUUGACGCCAUAGAAAUAGUACCGUAAGGGAAAAUAAAUCAAAAGUAAAAAAAAGCAAAGCUUACCCCUUCUACCUUUCGCAUAAUGAGUUAACUAGAAAAAGCUUAACAAAAAGACCUGAAGCUAAGCACCCCGAAACCAGACGAGCUAUCUAAGGACAGCCUUAAAGAGCACACUCAUCUAUGUGGCAAAAUAGUGAGAAGAUCCCUAGAUAGAGGCGACAAACCAACCGAGCCUGGUGAUAGCUGGUUGUCCAGGAUAUGAAUUUUAGUUCAAAUUUAAACUUACCAAAAAAACCAAAAUUCACAUGUAAGUUUAAAUUAUAAUCUAAAGAGGUACAGCUCUUUAGAUAUAGGCUACAACCUUUCCUAGAGAGUUAAUACAACACCCACCAUAGUAGGCCUAAAAGCAGCCAUCAAUUAAGAAAGCGUUCAAGCUCAACAAACCACCCAAUCUAAUACCACAAAUGCCCAACAACUCCUAGCCCAACACUGGACCACUCUAUUAUUAUAGAGGAAAUACUGUUAAUAUGAGUAACAAGAAAAUUUUCUCCUCGCAUAAGCCUAUAUCAGAACGAAUACCUCGCUGAUAGUUAACAGAACAUAAAUUCCCCCAAAGUUAAAUAACUUAUAAACCACCCUGUUAGUCCAACACAGGCAUGCGCUUAAGGAAAGAUUAAAACGGAUAAAAGGAACUCGGCAAACAUAAAUUCCGCCUGUUUACCAAAAACAUCACCUCUAGCAUUACUAGUAUUAGAGGCACUGCCUGCCCAGUGACACUAGUUCAACGGCCGCGGUAUCCUGACCGUGCAAAGGUAGCAUAAUCACUUGUUCUCUAAAUAAGGACUUGUAUGAAUGGCCCCACGAGAAUUUAACUGUCUCUUAUCCUCAAUCAGUGAAAUUGACCUUCCCGUGCAGAGGCGGGAAUAAAAAAAUAAGACGAGAAGACCCUAUGGAGCUUCAAUUAACCAGUCCAAAAAGAGCACCUAUUAAUCAAAAAGAGAUAACCUACUCUAACUUGGGUUGGCAAUUUAGGUUGGGGUGACCUCGGAGCAGAAAAAACCCUCCGAGUGAUACAUGCUAAGACCUACUAGUCAAAGCAAUAAUAUCAUUAAUUGAUCCAAACACUUGAUCAACGGAACAAGUUACCCUAGGGAUAACAGCGCAAUCCUAUUCAAGAGUCCCUAUCGACAAUAGGGUUUACGACCUCGAUGUUGGAUCAGGACACCCCGGUGGUGCAACCGCUACCAAAGGUUCGUUUGUUCAACGAUUAAUAGUCCUACGUGAUCUGAGUUCAGACCGGAGCAAUCCAGGUCGGUUUCUAUCUAUUCUAUGGUCCUCCCAGUACGAAAGGACAAGAGGAACGAGGCCUACCCCCCACGUGCGCCUCCAAUCAACAAGUGUUAUAACCUUAACUUGUAAACAAAUAACAUAACACACCCAG